rnacentral:rRNA from 1 species
AUUGAACGCUGGCGGCACGCCUAACACAUGCAAGUCGAGCGGCAGCAUGCUUAGUAGCAAUACUAAGUGAUGGCGAGCGGCGGACGGGUGAGGAACACGUAGGAACCUGCCCAAGAGAGGGGGAUAACUAAGGGAAACUUUAGCUAAUACCGCAUAAUCUCUGAGGAGAAAAGCUGCCCGCAAGGGUAGCGCUUUUGGAGGGGCCUGCGUCCGAUUAGCUAGUUGGUGAGGUAAUGGCUCACCAAGGCGAUGAUCGGUAACUGGUCUGAGAGGACGAGCAGUCACACUGGGACGGAGACACGGCCCAGACUCCUACGGGAGGCAGCAGUGGGGAAUCUUGGACAAUGGGGGCAACCCUGAUCCAGCGAUGCCGCGUGGGUGAAGAAGGCCUUCGGGUUGUAAAGCCCUUUAGGCUGGGAAGAAGUGUGCGGGGUGAAUAAUCCUGUACAUUGACGGUACCAGCAGAAUAAGCACCGGCAAACUCUGUGCCAGCCGCCGCAGUAA